GCGAACGCUGGCGGCAGGCCUAACACAUGCAAGUCGAGCGCCCAGCAAUGGGAGCGGCAGACGGGUGAGUAACACGUGGGGAUCUACCCAAUGGUACGGAAUAACCCAGGGAAACUUGGACUAAUACCGUAUGUGCCCUUCGGGGGAAAGAUUUAUCGCCAUUGGAUGAACCCGCGUCGGAUUAGCUAGUUGGUGAGGUAAAGGCUCACCAAGGCGACGAUCCGUAGCUGGUCUGAGAGGAUGAUCAGCCACACUGGGACUGAGACACGGCCCAGACUCCUACGGGAGGCAGCAGUGGGGAAUAUUGGACAAUGGGCGCAAGCCUGAUCCAGCCAUGCCGCGUGUGUGAUGAAGGCCUUAGGGUUGUAAAGCACUUUCGCCGGUGAAGAUAAUGACGGUAACCGGAGAAGAAGCCCCGGCUAACUUCGU
rnacentral:rRNA from 1 species